UUAUUUUGUUCUGAAGGCAAAAGCCAUCUGGGGGCAGGGUAAUUACCCUGAGCCAGGGAGACAAAGGGACUGCAGUUCUCAGCUCUGCUGCAGGUGGCUGAGAGCUUUGGGUGGAAUGUCACAAAGUACCCAGGUUGAAGGGUGAGUCAGAAAUCCUUAGGUCACUUGCGGUUUUCUUUCAUGGUUUUGCUGUGACUAGUCACUUGUUUUUACUUAGCAAGAACAACAGCUGUUUGGGUGUCUGAAACAGCACUGCCUGGUCCCCGUAGUGCCGGGGCUGCCCCGGUUUGGUAGAGGGAAGAUACAGGGAACAUGAGACCUGGCGAGUCUUUUUUGGAGCCAGUGUGAGUCUUAGGUAAGGAGUGGGGCAUCCCUGGGCACAGACACUGAGCCAGAUUUUCAUGAUGCUCAACUGAGCUUGCAUCAAGAUACUGAUUCAUUAAUUUGAAUUACUCAUUUUACUGGACCAGUCCUCAGGAGCCAUUCAGCUCUCUGGAAGAAAAUCCCUGCCUCAGAAGAACUAUGGACAACUCCUGAGAUCCAAGAGGCUGAGGCUUGGAGAGGGCAUUAAGGACCUUAAAAACCAUAUAAGCCGCUUCUUACAUUUCCUCUUAAUGUAAUACAGUCAGCUAAGGGUGCUGUCAGGCACCUGCAUAGCUGUCUGCUUGCAUCUUUGAUUUGGACACAAAGCAUGAUGUUCAGAAGAGGAACGAAGAGAUGGGACAAUCCACAAAGAAUCCUGGUACCCGUUCAUCCUGUGGCUGCUGCUGUCAUGGAAACCAUGGUGUGUCUGGGGGUGCAUUCCUCAGGGCGCUCCACUGUCUUCUCUCCUGGUAUUCAGUGAUAUGUCCUCUUUUUCUCUUCUCUGCUUCCUCCAUGGUCAUCUCUUCACCACAGUGGAAAAGCACCAAAGGGUCAGGAGGAGAAGAACCAGGCUCGAGUGUCUGAAAGCCUGUCCUUCUGUGAACGCUAUCAUGAGGCCAGCUGUGCCCACGGAGGAAAACAUUGCCCCACUAGCUGUUGGUUUUGAUGGAGAUGAACUUAACAAGUCUUCAGAAGAGGAGGGAAUGGAAAGUAAGUUUGGGUUCCAAAGCAACAGAUUUCCACAUGCCUGUGCUGCUCUUGCUUCUCCACUAUCUUAGGAUUCAUGAAUGGGAGAC
rnacentral:lncRNA from 1 species